rnacentral:rRNA from 1 species
GGGGAAUUUUGCGCAAUGGGCGGAAGCCUGACGCAGCAACGCCGCGUGGAGGAUGAAGGUCUUUGGAUUGUAAACUCCUGUCAGCAGGGAAAAAGGGACUUGUGCUCAUACCACGGGGACUUGAUUGUACCUGCAGAGGAAGCCCCGGCUAACUCUGUGCCAGCAGCCGCGGUAAUACAGAGGGGGCAAGCGUUAUUCGGAAUUAUUGGGCGUAAAGGGCGCGUAGGCGGCGAUUCAAGUGGCGGGUGAAAUCCCUCGGCUUAACCGAGGAACUGCCUGCCAGACUGGAUUGCUUGAGUCCGGGAGAGGUGAGUGGAAUUCCCAGUGUAGCGGUGAAAUGCGUAGAUAUUGGGAGGAACACCAGUGGCGAAGGCGGCUCACUGGACCGGAACUGACGCUGAGGCGCGAAAGCGUGGGGAGCAAAC